AUAUUAUUUUUGUAGUUAGGUCUCUCUUUGAAAACCUUAGCCUCCCUUCAACCAGCAACUAUCCAAUGAAACUUAAUACCUUUAAUUUGCAAAGAACUGUUUUUGAGAUCUGUCUCAAUGGAACUUAAAAAUUGCAUCCAGAGAGAAUGUAGUGUGGAUUUUCCCAAGGUGUGUCACAUCCCAAAGAUCUAUGUCAGGAAGUAACUCAGGAUUUUUCAUGAAGGUUUUUGCCCUGGCUCUUUUAGAAAGAAUCAUGCUGAAGAGAUUAUGAAUUUGCCCUCUUUGCUUCAAAAGGACCCAGUUACUGUUGAGUGCUCCAAUUCACAGUAUCAUUUAGAUAUCUGUUUAUUGUGUCAAACAAAUAAUACUCAGGACUUAGUUUCUAAAUUGCUUAUAAUAAAUGUAAAAGUUUGAACUC